CCCUUUGAUAUCCUGGGCCGCACGCGCGCUACACUGAUACAUGCAACGAGUCGAUCCUGCGCCGACAGGUGUGGGUAAUCUUGUGAAACUGUAUCGUGAUGGGGCUUGACGAUUGUAAUUGUUCGUCACCAACGAGGAAUUCCUAGUAAGCGCAAGUCAUCAGCUUGCAUUGAUUACGUCCCUGCCCUUUGUACACACCGCCCGUCGCUCCUACCGAUUGAGCGUUCCGAUCAGUUGUCAGGAUCCGGGGUUUCGGUCCUGGAGAAUUUCUGCUAGUCAUAGCGCUUAGAGGAAGGAGAAGUCGUAACA
rnacentral:rRNA from 1 species